rnacentral:rRNA from 1 species
UGCAANGUCGAGCGGUAACAGAAAGUAGCUUGCUACUUUGCUGACGAGCGGCGGACGGGUGAGUAAUGCUUGGGAACAUGCCUUGAGGUGGGGGACAACAGUUGGAAACGACUGCUAAUACCGCAUAAUGUCUACGGACCAAAGGGGGCUUCGGCUCUCGCCUUUAGAUUGGCCCAAGUGGGAUUAGCUAGUUGGUGAGGUAAUGGCUCACCAAGGCAACGAUCCCUAGCUGGUUUGAGAGGAUGAUCAGCCACACUGGAACUGAGACACGGUCCAGACUCCUACGGGAGGCAGCAGUGGGGAAUAUUGCACAAUGGGCGAAAGCCUGAUGCAGCCAUGCCGCGUGUGUGAAGAAGGCCUUCGGGUUGUAAAGCACUUUCAGUCAGGAGGAAAGGGUGUGAGUUAAUACCUCAUAUCUGUGACGUUACUGACAGAAGAAGCACCGGCUAACUCCGUGCCAGCAGCCGCGGUAAUACGGAGGGUGCGAGCGUUAAUCGGAAUUACUGGGCGUAAAGCGUACGCAGGCGGUUUGUUAAGCGAGAUGUGAAAGCCCCGGGCUCAACCUGGGAACUGCAUUUCGAACUGGCAAACUAGAGUGUGAUAGAGGGUGGUAGAAUUUCAGGUGUAGCGGUGAAAUGCGUAGAGAUCUGAAGGAAUACCGAUGGCGAAGGCAGCCACCUGGGUCAACACUGACGCUCAUGUACGAAAGCGUGGGGAGCAAACGGGAUUAGAUACCCCGGUAGUCCACGCCGUAAACGAUGUCUACUAGAAGCUCGGAACCUCGGUUCUGUUUUUCAAAGCUAACGCAUUAAGUAGACCGCCUGGGGAGUACGGCCGCAAGGUUAAAACUCAAAUGAAUUGACGGGGGCCCGCACAAGCGGUGGAGCAUGUGGUUUAAUUCGAUGCAACGCGAAGAACCUUACCUACACUUGACAUACAGAGAACUUUCUAGAGAUAGAUUGGUGCCUUCGGGAACUCUGAUACAGUGCUGCAUGGCUGUCGUCAGCUCGUGUUGNGAGNNGNUGGGUUAGUCCCGCAACGAGNGCACCCCUANUCCUUANUUGCUA